rfam:Triticum aestivum genome assembly, contig: Triticum_aestivum_CS42_TGACv1_scaffold_433118_5DL
GUAGUACUCCCUCCGUCCGAAAAAACUUGUCUCGAGCUUGUCCCUUAAAUGGAUGUAAUCUAGUACUAACUUGGUGCUAGAUAAAUCCAUUUGAGGGACAAGCUUUUUCGGACGGAUGGAGUAUUUA